rnacentral:rRNA from 1 species
UACGAAGGGGGCUAGCGUUGCUCGGAAUCACUGGGCGUAAAGGGCGCGUAGGCGGCCGAUUAAGUCGGGGGUGAAAGCCUGUGGCUCAACCACAGAAUUGCCUUCGAUACUGGUUGGCUUGAGACCGGAAGAGGACAGCGGAACUGCGAGUGUAGAGGUGAAAUUCGUAGAUAUUCGCAAGAACACCAGUGGCGAAGGCGGCUCACUGGCUCGCAACUGACGCUCAGGCGCGACAGCGUGGGGAUCAAACAGG